UACUAAAACCCAACUCGCUAGAAGACAAACAAAAUGAACAGUGACUUGACGUUUAUGCCCUGCAUUUUUUUGGUCUUUUGCUUGAUUGCCUCCUACAGGUGUUGGCUGCAAGUGAGGCCGUGUUGGUAUGGCUUGCUCUGCGUGUUUGCUCUGGAGAAGGACACAUCUUCAUUCUUUUGGUAUGGGUUGUUCGCUCGACAGAGAGAGAUAAAAAGAGAGUGAAUAGAACUGGGGAAUAAGGGAGAGAACGCAGAGAAGCAGAAGAGGGGGAUGAGAGGCUCUCAGGGUUUUGUUUUGAUUGCGCAAGAGUUUUGAGAGUUCAGACGCAAAUAAUAGCUUGGAAACGAUCAAGUGCUAGCUUGCUUCCUGUUUGCGUCAGGAAAAAGAUUAACUAUAAAUGGCUUCUCUACAUUAGGUUGCUGAAAUUGUUAUUAAUUUUGGAGCUUCUGGAUUUUCGAUAAGGAUGAAUGCACUAUCAACACAAGCUGUCUGAGGUUUUUGGUGCUAGGCUUCUUUUGCAUUUCUUGCUUUUGGUCCAAGAAACUUGCUGAUCAGUUUUAUGUAAUUUUUGGUCAGCAAUUAAGACUUUAAUGACCCUGUUUGAGAGUCUUAUAAAAAAUUAUUAGUUCUAGGUUUGUUUAGAAAUGGAAGCUUAAUAGACAUAGGUUUGUUUAGAAAAAUAUUGAAAGCAUCUUAAUAAAACUAAAUUAAAUAACCAUUUCAGAUUUGUUUAAUUCUUUGUACUAACAGGAAGAUACCCAUCAGUUUUCUGUUUUGAUUUUAGUAAUAUAACAAUGUCUGCAUCUGGUUGGGAUUUCAACAAACAAGCGUAGUUAACAGCGUAGUUAACAGUACUAUGUACUUUGGUUUCUAAUUUUUGGAUUGAUGCCUUUUGCUUUCUUGGGAAGUGUUAGCAUUUAUUCCAAUUAAUUUGUGGUUAGCUAAAUCAAUUGUUCACUUCUCAAUGUUUUUUUAUGAAUUCACAUGCCUGUUAUUUCUACCUUUAGGCUUCAGAACAAAACAAACACUGAAACUGAAAUGUGUUAUUGCAUUGAUUGCAUGAAUAAUGCUGUGUACAACAUAUUCACAGUAUGUUGGGGAAUGUACGGUUAUGGGUUUAGCAGUUUAGUGUUCUUAUUUAAAACGACUUACAGAAAUGGUCAGCUUAAUCAGGUAUAGGCCCUUUCAAAAAUAAAAGAAUUUGGUAUGUAGUAGCAGCAAAAUCUUAUUGAACAUCAUUUUGGAUAUAAUAGGAUUUCUGUGAAGGUUCAAUUUAUAUGCAUCCAGACUUUGUCUUUGGAUAGGAAAAUUGAGAG